rnacentral:rRNA from 1 species
GACGAACGCUGGCGGCGUGCUUAACACAUGCAAGUCGAACGAUGAAGCGGGUGCUUGCACUCGUGGAUUAGUGGCGAACUGGCGAGUAACACGUGAGUAACCUGUCCUUUUCUUUGGGAUAACGGCUGGAAACGGCUGCUUAUACUGGAUAUUCAGGCUGCAUCGCAUGGUGUGGUUUGGAAAGGUUUUUUCUGGGAUUGGGUGGGCUCGCGGCCUAUCAGCUUGUUGGUGGGGUGAUGGCUUACCAAGGCUUUGACGGGUAGCAGGCCUGAGAGGGUGGUCGGUCUCACUGGGAGUGAGAUAAGGCCCAGACUGCGACGGGAGGCAGCAGUGGGGAAUAUGGAGCAAUGGACGAAAGUUUGAUGCAGCGACGCCGCGUAUGGGGUGUAGGCCUUCGGGUUGUGAACUACUUUUGCUCGCGAAAAAGGCACAGUUUUGGCUGUGUUGAUGGUAGUGGGGGAAGAAGCGCCGGCUAACUACGUG